rnacentral:rRNA from 1 species
UACAGAGGGGGCAAGCGUUGUUCGGAAUUACUGGGCGUAAAGGGCGCGUAGGCGGCCUUCUAAGUCAGACGUGAAAUCCCUCGGCUCAACCGGGGAACUGCGUCUGAGACUGAAAGGCUUGAAUCCGGGAGAGGAAUGCGGAAUUCCAGGUGUAGCGGUGAAAUGCGUAGAUAUCUGGAGGAACACCGGUGGCGAAGGCGGCAUCCUGGACCAACACUGACACUGAGGAGCGAAAGCCAGGGGAGCAAACGGG